CGGCUCAGUAACACGUCGACAAUCUGCCCUUAGAUCUGGAAUAACCUUGGGAAACUGAGGCUAAUACCGGAUAGGGAAUGAAAGCUGGAAUGCUUCAUUCUUUAAAGGCAACGUCUAAGGAUGAGUCGGCGGCGGAUUAGGUUGUUGGUGAGGUAACGGCUCACCAAGCCGAAGAUCCGUACGGGCCAUGAGAGUGGUUGCCCGGAGAAGGACACUGAGAAACUGGUCCUAGCCCUACGGGGUGCAGCAGGCGCGAAAACUUUACAAUGCACGAAAGUGUGAUAAGGGAAUCCUAAGUGCUCAUACACAGUAUGGGCUUUUGCCAAGGGUAAAUACCUUGGAGAAUAAGUGGUGGGUAAGACUGGUGCCAGCAGCCGCGGCAACCCCAGCGCCACAAGUGGGAGCCACAAUUAUUUGGCCUAAAGCGUCCGUAGCUGGCUUAGUAAAUCUUUUGUGAAAUCGGAAGGCUCAACCUUCCGGCGUGCAGAAGACACUGCUAAGCUUGAGAUCGGAAGGGGUAAGGAGUAUUCCUAGGGAACCGGUAAAAUGGGAUAAUCCUAGGAAGACUACCUAUGGCGAAGGCACCUUACCAGUACGAGUCUGACAGUGAGGGACGAAGGCUAGGGGAGCGAACCGGAUUAGAUACCCGAGUAGUCCUAGCAGUAAACGCUGC
rnacentral:rRNA from 1 species